CGUGCGCAGGCGGUCUUGUAAGACAGUUGUGAAAGCCCCGGGCUUAACCUGGGAACUGCAAUUGUGACUGCAAGGCUAGAGUGUGUCAGAGGGGGGUGGAAUUCCACGUGUAGCAGUGAAAUGCGUAGAGAUGUGGAGGAACACCGAUGGCGAAGGCAGCCCCCUGGGAUAACACUGACGCUCAUGCACGAAAGCGUGGGGAGCAAACAGGAUUAGAUACCCUGGUAGUCCACGCCCUAAACGAUGUCAACUGGUUGUUGGAAGGGUAACCUUUUAGUAACGAAGCUAACGCGUGAAGUUGACCGCCAGGGGAGUACGGUCGCAAGAUUAAAACUCAAAGGAAUUGACGGGGACCCGCACAAGCGGUGGAUGAUGUGGUUUAAUUCGAUGCAACGCGAAAAACCUUACCUACACUUGACAUGCCAGAAAUCCUGCAGAGAUGUGGGAGUGCCGCAAGGAAUCUGGGCACAGGUGCUGCAUGGCUGUCGUCAGCUCGUGUCGUGAGAUGUUGGGUUAAGUCCCGCAACGAGCGCAACCUUUGUCACUAGUUGCUACAUUUAGUUGGGCACUCUAGUGAGACUGCCGGUGACAAACCGGAGGAAGGUGGGGAUGACGUCAAGUCCUCAUGGCCCUUAUGUGUAGGGCUACACACGUCAUACAAUGGUCGGUACAGAGGGUUGCCAACCCGCGAGGGGGAGCUAAUCUCACAAAGCCGAUCGUAGUCCGGAUCGCAGUCUGCAACUCGACUGCGUGAAGUCGGAAUCGCUAGUAAUCGUGGAUCAGCAUGUCACGGUGAAUACGUUCCCGGGUCUUGUACACACCGCCCGUCACACCAUGGGAGUGGAAUCCGCCAGAAGUAGGUAGCCUAACCGCAAGGAGGGCGCU
rnacentral:rRNA from 1 species